UACAUGGGGUGCAAACGUUGCUCGGAAUUACUGGGCGUAAAGCGCGCGUAGGCGGCUGAGUAAGUCGAUUGUGAAAUCCCCGGGCUCAACCUGGGAAUUGCAGUCGAGACUGCUCGGCUAGAGUGUGGGAGAGGGUGGUGGAAUUCCCGGUGUAGCGGUGAAAUGCGGUAGACUAUCGGGAGGAACAUCAGUGGCGAAGGCGACCACCUGGCCCAACAC
rnacentral:rRNA from 1 species